UCCCCUAGUAACGGCGAGUGAAGCGGGAAGAGCUCAAAUUUGAAAUCUGGUAGCCUUCGGUUGCCCGAGUUGUAAUCUAGAGAAGUGUUUUCCGCGUUGGCCCAUGUACAAGUCCCUUGGAACAGGGCGUCAUAGAGGGUGAGAAUCCCGUCCUUGACAUGGACCCCCAAUGCUUUGUGAUACACUUUCAACGAGUCGAGUUGUUUGGGAAUGCAGCUCAAAAUGGGUGGUGAAUUCCAUCUAAAGCUAAAUAUUGGCGAGAGACCGAUAGCGAACAAGUACCGUGAGGGAAAGAUGAAAAGCACUUUGGAAAGAGAGUUAAACAGUACGUGAAAUUGUUGAAAGGGAAACGAUUGAAGUCAGUCAUGCUCUUUGGAUUAAGCCGUUCUGCGGUGUAUUUCAUUGAGCGGGGUCAACAUCAGUUUUGAUCGCUGGAAAAGGGCAGGAGGAAGGUAGCACUCUCGGGUGAACUUAUAGCCUCUUGUCGUAUACAGUGAUUGGGACUGAGGAACGCAGCAUGCCUUUUGGCCGGGAUUCGUCCACGUACAUGCUUAGGAUGUUGACAUAAUG
rnacentral:rRNA from 2 species